rnacentral:tRNA from 3 species
AGCGCCGUAGAGGAGUAGUACCUCGCCAGUCUCAUAAGCUGGAGGUCCCUGGUGCAAUUCCAGGCGGCGCAACCU